GGGAUAUUAUUUUAAUAUAAAAUUUCUCUGUUGCAUGGAGAAGAUGCUUGAUGAGCAUAUCUUA
rnacentral:tRNA from 1 species